UCUUCGGUAGUAUAGUGGUCAGUAUCCCCGCCUGUCACGCGGGAGACCGGGGUUCGAUUCCCCACCGGAGAG
rnacentral:tRNA from 1 species